rnacentral:rRNA from 1 species
CAGGCCUAACACAUGCAAGUCGAACGGACCCUUCGGGGUUAGUGGCGGACGGGUGAGUAACACGUGGGAACGUGCCUUUAGGUUCGGAAUAGCUCCUGGAAACGGGUGGUAAUGCCGAAUGUNCCCUUCGGGGGAAAGAUUUAUCGCCUUUAGAGCGGCCCGCGUCUGAUUAGCUAGUUGGUGAGGUAAAGGCUCACCAAGGCUACGAUCAGUAGCUGGUCUGAGAGGAUGACCAGCCACAUUGGGACUGAGACACGGCCCAAACUCCUACGGGAGGCAGCAGUGGGGAAUCUUGCGCAAUGGGCGAAAGCUGACGCAGCCAUGCCGCGUGAAUGAUGAAGGUCUUAGGAUUGUUAAAUUCUUUCAGUAGGGACGAUAAUGACGGUACCUACAGAAGAAGCCCCGGCUAACUUCGUGCCAGCAGCCGCGGUAAUACGAA